ACAAACUUGGUCAUUUAGAGGAAGUAAAAGUCGUAACAAGGUUUCCGUAGGUGAACCUGCGGAAGGAUCAUUAACAAUUGUCCACCAUGGAUAAUUUAUCCAUAUCCACCUUGUGUGAAUCACUGAAGUGUUUGUUGGCAGGUUAAGUCUCUCUCUAUCGAGAGCUGUGUGUUUGUUCAAUGCUUCACCGGCCUGCCAAUUUUAUUUAUAUGUAAACUUGUCUCAAAUAUUAUUGGUCUGAAAUAUAUAAAAAGUAUAACAAAAUACAACUUUCAACAACGGAUCUCUUGGCUCUCGCAUCGAUGAAGAACGCAGC
rnacentral:misc_RNA from 1 species